CACUUCAUGACUGAGAGCAGAACAGAACACAAUCUUCAUCAUCACACAAGACACAACAACAACAAUGAACAACAUCAUCAUCCUCAUCUGGACCACUGCAGCUUUUAUUCAAGAAUCCAGAGGGGUCACUGUGACUCAGCCUAAAGUUAAAACUGUCCAGCUCGGUCAAACAGCUUCAAUAGAGUGUAAUAUAGAUGUAGGAAUAUACAGCAACUACUUAGCCUGGUAUCAGCAGAAACCUGGAGAAGCCCCUAAACUCCUCAUUUAUUACAUAAACACCCUCCAGUCAGGAACUCCAUCUAGAUUCAGUGGCAGUGGAACUAGCAACGGAAAAGAUUUCACUCUGACCAUCAGUGGAGUCCAGACUGAAGAUGCUGCACAUUAUUACUGUCAGAGUGUACAUGAAAUCAACAGUGACUAUGUGUUCACACAGUGAUAAAGAGUGGUACAAAAACCUCGGUCAGUCAGAGUCACAGUGACUGAACUGA